rnacentral:rRNA from 1 species
CCCUUAGAUGUUCUGGGCCGCACGCGUGCUACACUGAGUGGAUCAGCGGGUCAGGUUGCGCGAAAGUGUUUCCUAAUCUUUAAAUCCGCUCGUGAUGGGGAUAGACGGUUGCAAUUUUCCGUCAUGAACGAGGAAUACCUUGUAAGCGCGGGUCAUCAUCCCGCGCUGAAUACGUCCCUGCCCUUUGUACACACCGCCCGUCGCUCCUACCGAUUGAGUGGUCCGGUGAGGCUUUGGGAUCUGAGCGGAAAGAGCGUUUCGCUGUUUCUGCCCGGAAAACUCAGUCGAACCUUAUCAUUUAGAGGAAGGAGAAGUCGUAACA